UCGACGGCUGGGGCGUGCUCGCGCUCGUGCGGCGGAUCCGCGCGGAGACGGACCACGUCGUCUACGCGCCGUCGUUCGACCGCGCCGUCGAC
rnacentral:tRNA from 1 species